rnacentral:rRNA from 1 species
CCUACGGGAGGCAGCAGUGAGGAAUAUUGGUCAAUGGACGAGAGUCUGAACCAGCCAAGUAGCGUGAAGGAAGAAGGCUUUCGGGUUGUAAACUUCUUUUAAGGGGGAAGAGCAGAAGACGGUACCCCUUGAAUAAGCCACGGCUAACUACGUGCCAGCAGCCGCGGUAAUACGUAGGUGGCAAGCGUUGUCCGGAUUUACUGGGCGUAAAGGGCGUGCAGCCGGCGAGACAAGUCAGAUGUGAAAUCCACGGGCUCAACCCGUGAACUGCCUUUGAAACUGUUUCCCUUGAGUGUCGGAGAGGUGAUCGGAAUUCCUGGUGUAGCGGUGAAAUGCGUAGAUAUAAGGAGGAACACCAGUGGCGAAGGCGGAUUACUGGACGAUAACUGACGGUGAGGCGCGAAAGCGUGGGGAGCAAACAGGAUUAGAUACCCCUGUAGUC